rfam:Tupaia chinensis contig176278, whole genome shotgun sequence.
GUGCUUUUUGGGAGCACGUGUAUGAAAUUGGAAUGAUUCAGAGAAGAUCAGUGUGGCCCCUGUGUGAGCACAGCACACAAAUACAUGAAGCACAUUGAGUGAAA